rnacentral:rRNA from 1 species
GGGAAAUCUUACCGGGUCCGGACACACUGAGGAUUGACAGGCAAUCAUGUGAAUUGUUUUUUUUUUUUUUUUUUUUUUWAAAARAAAAWAAAAACAUUCACAUAUAAAUAUGCUAGUCCUUUCAUGAUUAUGUGAUAGGUGGUGCAUGGCCGUUCUUAGUUCGUGGAGUGAUCUGUCUGCUUAAUUGCGUUUCAUACUGGACUUAGAAAUCAAGUGUGUUUAUUUUUCUUGUUUGUAAGGACUCGUUUUUGUACGUUUGCGUGACCCCAUUUCUUUUGGGUGUGUUUCGCUUCUGUAUACAUCUCGUGUCCUUUAUAACUUUAUUUAUG